AGUUAACGAUAAUUAUUCUUAUCAAAUGGAAAAUAUUUGAUUCAAUUUCAUUUGCUAUAUGAAAAGUGCACUCACGCAUACAUAUUAUAGCGAUAAAACAUUUUACAAUUUUGAUUCGUCUCCGAAAUAUCCGCACAGAUAAAAUUAUGGCGUAUGAAUGAGACAAAUAUACAUUAAUAAUGCUCUAAUUAUUCUAAUUGUUGAGCACAUAAUAUUCAUGCCGUAAAUACGAUAUCGUUGGAUAUCGAUCAUUGGAAUAUUUGAUAAGUGGAACUCUCAUUGUCCGUAAUGUUUUCGGCACGUUAUUGCAUCGAUAUUUCUGCGAAAAUAUUGCAGCUUCGAGAUGAUCGACAUAAUUCUGCUGCAGAGGAAAGCGUGCCGCUUUCGUCCGGUAGCAUCCGUCUUCCAUUUAACGCGUCCAUUUAACUGCUGACACUUUACACAUCGGCACUCAGGUGUCAAAUAGAUGGUUGUUCUAUAUAACGGGAACCAGAACGUCAAUUUUUGCUACAUUGAGAUGAAAAAUAUAUAUCAG